AUUGAACGCUGGCGGCAGGCCUAACACAUGCAAGUCGAACGGUAGCACAGAGAGCUUGCUCUCGGGCGACGAGUGGCGGACGGGUGAGUAACGUCUGGGAAACUGCCCGAUGGAGGGGGAUAACUACUGGAAACGGUAGCUAAUACCGCAUAACGUCGCAAGACCAAAGUGGGGGACCUUCGGGCCUCACACCAUUGGAUGUGCCCAGAUGGGAUUAGCAAGUAGGUGGGGUAAUGGCUCACCUAGGCGACGAUCCCUAGCUGGUCUGAGAGGAUGACCAGCCACACUGGAACUGAGACACGGUCCAGACUCCUACGGGAGGCAGCAGUGGGGAAUAUUGCACAAUGGGCGCAAGCCUGAUGCAGCCAUGCCGCGUGUAUGAAGAAGGCCUUCGGGUUGUAAAGUACUUUCAGCGGGGAGGAAGGCGGUGAAGUUAAUAGCUUCACCGAUUGACGUUACCCGCAGAAGAAGCACCGGCUAACUCCGUGCCAGCAGCCGCGGUAA
rnacentral:rRNA from 1 species